CAAAAAAGACCAUAUGAGCACGAGAACAAACACAAAAAUCUUUCUUUGAUUCAAGUAUAUAAUGAGCAACAGACCGAGGAAGCAUUGUGUUUUAAGUUUUCAGAUCAACUGCUUGACUCUUCUAUGAUGCCAUCCAGAAAGUUGGUGGGACUAGGAACUAUAGUGGAUGGCCGUACCACCUACCAAAGCAGCAGGUUGACAUACAGCAUUUCACUGGAUUAAGGGGUUGAGUAUCUCCCGGGCCCUUCGAGAGCAUGAAGUAGAAUGGGAUUACCUAAUCUACAAAUAUAUGCUAUAUUUCUGAUAUUUAUAUAUCCCAUACGAAAAUAUGAGCAUGCAAGCUCCGCCUUUCCUCGCACGUGGGAUUGCUACUACAGUACUAUAGUUUAAGCGUUUGCAUCUUGAUAUUUCUAUAUCUCAUUCUAAUUAAUUCAAUUGCAGGGGGCGUAUCAAGUGAAUAUAUGCUACUGAUUGUGACCAUAAAAACCAGCAUAGCAUUUCCUCCUUUCUCAGACACAUUAGCAUCUCUCUCUCCCACACGCACGCGCACACACGAACAUACACGAUUGGACAAGAUAAGAAUAUUCCGCAGAAAGUGAAAUCUGUGUUUUUCCUUGUUGAAAAUCAUACAAAAUGCCAAUGUUCCACUGUGCCACAUGCUCUUUUCUCAUGAUAGUGGUGUCUGGGGAAGCUUCAGCGUAUUUCGACUAUUCCACUGGGUACCUGCUGCCUCCCACAAGCACAGAUACCAGGUAACUCUGCCCACCAAGCCUUGGGCAGAUGAAGAAAUCACCUAGUUUUUUUGCCUCCGUUGGGAUUUGAACCUGAGACCGCAUGAUUCUCCUCUGACUUCAUUAACCACUAAGUCACACCCUUAGAUGCCCUCUAUGCCACAUGUUGAUGGAUACAAUCUUUAAGAUUUAUGUACCACACCUUAUUCUUAUCAUUAUGUAUAGCUUUUGGAUAAGUAUGUACAGGAGCCACCUUCUAAGCACCAAAAUAACUGGGUAUCGUGACAUAAGCAUCAUCUAGCAGUAAAUCAUGAGACAAUUGGUGACGACAUCAUGCACUUACAGCUAGUUUGUAACUGUUAGGAGCAAAUGUUAUCUAAGAAGUUCGGGUCUGUGCCUUACAAUUCAUGCUAGUAAAGAUCAGUUCUUGGUUAAGAACUUAUUCACUCUGCACAAAAGUUGCAAAUUUUGAAUGCUGCAUCUGAGUGUUCAAGCCUACAUGAUGAUUUGCCUAGUGCAAACGGGACUUCAGGAAAGUGCAGGUGUUAUAGGAUCCAUUUUCAAUUUGAUCAUGUUUCUUAUUUCCGGGAUAAACAAGUAUUAUUCCGAGAAAAGGAAUCAAACAAGGAUAAAAUUGCAUUAGGAGUUCCAAGUUCUUGAUUAAGCAGGCUUAGAGCAUCACUGCAUCACUGCACCAGAAGUCCAACCAGAAAGUAUCUUUUUGAGUACACACAAGCAACAUAGAAAUGUAUUCCCCCAGAAAGAGAAAAUUCUUUCUGUGAUUUGUUCAAGAGCCACAUACCAGUGUUAUUAAAAGCCAGCACUUGGCCGCCCUAAACCGAUUAAGCCGCGCGAAGCGAGAGGUUAUUGCUUCCUGGGUUAAGUCAUGCGUUUCAAAGAAGUUUUGCGCGCCAAACAUUGACGCGCCAAGUGAGCCUAAUGAGAAGUAGCAGGCUUUUGGAUCUCUUAGAGAGCUGGAUUAAUAUUGACAUUAUUGUAUAUUUGGAUGCUGAAAUGUUAUUUAGUAGCAAUUCAAUUAUUAUAGUAAUAAAUUCAUACCAUAUGUUUAUAUUUUUAA